UGGGCAGACACAGAAGAGGGAGAGGCAUUCCACAGGGGAGGAAAGGCCUCAGUGGGGACCUAUGGGGCUCCCAGGCCCACUGCAGGGAGGCAGGUCCUCGGUCAUCUGCUGAGGGAGAACACUUUCAGUCGAAGGAGAAGCCUGGGACCCUUGACACAGAAGUGACAUGUGCAUUCAGAACCUCUCUGUGGAAAACACAGACCCUUCGUGACACGCAAACUCGAAGCCGGUGAGGACGAGUCUCGGGGCUGCGCCAAGCAGGAAGCCUGGCUGUCCAAUGUUCCAAAUCUGGAUGUGAAAUGGACCACGCAGACAGGACCCAAGGGGCAUGGGGGAGCUGGCAGGGGUGCCCGGGAAAAGUGGGGAAGCACCCAUCAGCCAGGAAGGUAGAGAGGCACCUGCCCCAGAACACGGUGCCAGUGUCUCACUCUUAUUAAUAGACGCAAUAACCACCUUCGGAGACCGGACUUCUCAACAAGCACUCAGCCCACAAUGUGACGCAGAGAAACCAGAGACCCAGGCAGGGAGUGCACCCACGGGGACACUCCGAGGGCGGCCUCCUGCCUGCCCUGAUUACUUAAAAAGAAGAUUCUUGGAAACCUUUGCGGGCCCACAGGUGCACCCUGACUCCCAGGGAUGGGGGCUGAGCCACCCAGGAAACAAAUAGGAAAUCAAAGAUCCAGACAGCCCUGACCCUCCUGAUUCCAGGGUCCAUAAAUAAGUCAUUCUUAAAA
rnacentral:antisense_RNA from 1 species